UAGCGGCGGACGGGUGAGUAACGCGUGAGCAACCUGUCCCAAACAGGGGGAUAACGAACCGAAAGGUUCACUAAUACCGCAUAAGACCACAGAGUCACAUGGCUCAGGGGUCAAAGGAGAAAUCCGGUUUGGGGUGGGCUCGCGUCUGAUUAGCUAGUUGGUGGGGUAACGGCCUACCAAGGCGACGAUCAGUAGCCGACCUGAGAGGGUGAUCGGCCACAUUGGAACUGAGACACGGUCCAAACUCCUACGGGAGGCAGCAGUGGGGAAUAUUGGGCAAUGGGCGAAAGCCUGACCCAGCAACGCCGCGUGAAGGAAGAAGGUUUUCGGAUCGUAAACUUCUAUCCUUGGUGAAGAUAAUGACGGUAGCCAAGAAGGAAGCCCCGGCUAACUACGUGCCAGCAGCCGCGGUAAUACGUAGGGGGCAAGCGUUGUCCGGAAUGAUUGGGCGUAAAGGGCGCGUAGGCGGCCUGGUAAGUCUGGAGUGAAAGUCCUGCUUUUAAGGUGGGAAUUGCUUUGGAUACUGCUGGGCUUGAGUGCAGGAGAGGUAAGUGGAAUUCCCGGUGUAGCGGUGAAAUGCGUAGAGAUCGGGAGGAACACCAGUGGCGAAGGCGACUUACUGGACUGUAACUGACGCUGAGGCGCGAAAGUGUGGGGAGCAAACAGGAUUAGAUACCCUGGUAGUCCACACUGUAAACGAUGAAUGCUAGGUGUAGGGGGUAUCGACCCCUUCUGUGCCGGAGUUAACACAAUAA
rnacentral:rRNA from 1 species